rnacentral:rRNA from 1 species
AGCGAACGCUGGCGGCAGGCUUAACACAUGCAAGUCGAACGGGCACUUCGGUGCUAGUGGCAGACGGGUGAGUAACGCGUGGGAACGUGCCUUUCGGUUCGGAAUAAUCCAGGGAAACUUGGACUAAUACCGGAUACGCCCUUCGGGGGAAAGAUUUAUCGCCGAAAGAUCGGCCCGCGUCUGAUUAGCUAGUUGGUGAGGUAAAGGCUCACCAAGGCGACGAUCAGUAGCUGGUCUGAGAGGAUGAUCAGCCACACUGGGACUGAGACACGGCCCAGACUCCUACGGGAGGCAGCAGUGGGGAAUAUUGGACAAUGGGCGAAAGCCUGAUCCAGCCAUGCCGCGUGAGUGAUGAAGGCCUUAGGGUUGUAAAGCUCUUUUACCCGGGAUGAUAAUGACAGUACCGGGAGAAUAAGCUCCGGCUAACUCCGUGCCAGCAGCCGCGGUAAU